GCCAUACCACACCUCUUGCUUCACCUUUUUACCACUUAGAAACUUCUCGGCAAAGAGUAGCAAGGAAUGAGAGGAGAGGGAGGAAGCUCUUGAGCUGCCCAACAAUUAAGGAAUCACCAAAGCAAGGAUAUUUUGCUCGAGGGCAAAGUGAGGCCAACACGAGAGUUUUUAUUUGGAGAUAAGCAUAUCAGAUUUAAGCAAGGGGGCGGAGGCGUGCUGAUCAGAGUCGAUGCUACUUAAGAAAAUAAGUGUGGAUCUCUCGACGCUUCGUGUCUUCAUACGCGAAGUCGUUCUCUGGACUUUUUCCGCUGCAGUUUGUUAAGAGAGAAUAGUAAACUCUCAACAUCGAAACUCUGAUUCAUUUUGAUGAAAUGCUAUUGUCAUUUGAAUCCUUGUAUUUGAAUACUUGGAUCCUAUCUUAUGAUAUUGUUUGACUUUUCAA